rnacentral:lncRNA from 1 species
AAAUUCCUCCAUGAUCUGCUUCAAUUACUGCCUCCAGGUUCCUGCCUUGAAUUCCAGUCCUGGCUUCCCUCAAAGAUGCACUAAAGAAGUGUACUAAGCCAGGAGGAGCAAGCCAGUAAGCAGCAUCCCUCCAUGGCCUCUGUAUCAACCCGCUGGAGUUCCUGUCCUGGCUUCCUUCAAUGACUGCCUGACCAUAGCUGAGCUGAUAUCUGAUCAUUAUAUUCUGCUCAGGAGUCUCCUAGGAUUCAUAGCCACUGUACCUCAAGAUCUCCAUGCCAAGAUCCAGGUCAGAAACUUGUAUCUCCCAGCCUCAAGAUCUGGAUCACAGAAGAGGGCAUCAGAUACUACAACCUGGCCAUCAGCCCCCCCCCCCAUGCCUGCUUUCUCUCCGUGGACCCCACUUUUCUGUCUCCUCCUCUGCACAGCAUCUCAAUGAAUUAGCCUGAGAGCUGUACCCAAUAAACCUGCCUUUAUAUACUUUA